rnacentral:rRNA from 1 species
AUUGGACGCUGGCGGCAUGCCUUACACAUGCAAGUCGAACGGUAACGGGCCUUCGGGUGCCGACGAGUGGCGAACGGGUGAGUAAUACAUCGGAACGUGCCCGAUCGUGGGGGAUAACGAGGCGAAAGCUUUGCUAAUACCGCAUACGAUCUACGGAUGAAAGCAGGGGACCGCAAGGCCUUGCGCGGACGGAGCGGCCGAUGGCAGAUUAGGUAGUUGGUGGGAUAAAAGCUUACCAAGCCGACGAUCUGUAGCUGGUCUGAGAGGAUGAUCAGCCACACUGGGACUGAGACACGGCCCAGACUCCUACGGGAGGCAGCAGUGGGGAAUUUUGGGCAAUGGGCGCAAGCCUGAUCCAGCCAUGCCGCGUGCAGGAUGAAGGCCUUCGGGUUGUAAACUGCUUUUGUACGGAACGAAAAGCCUUCUUUUAAUACAGGAGGGUCAUGACGGUACCGUAAGAAUAAGCACCGGCUAACUACGUG